rnacentral:tRNA from 1 species
UUGAUUGAAGCUAACGAUAAGCAAAUCACUGUUAAUGAUUCCUUAAGAAGUUAAAUUCUUCUCAAUCAAG